GAUGAACGCUGGCGGCGUGCCUAAUACAUGCAAGUCGAGCGAACGGACGAGAAGCUUGCUUCUCUGAUGUUAGCGGCGGACGGGUGAGUAACACGUGGAAAACCUACCUAUAAGACUGGGAUAACUUCGGGAAACCGUAGCUAAUACCGGAUAAUAUUUUGAACCGCAUGGUUCAAAAGUGAAAGACGGUCUUGCUGUCACUAAUAGAUGGAUCCGCGCUGCAUUAGCUAGUUGGUAAGGUAACGGCUUACGAAGGCAACGAUGCAUAGCCGACGUGAGAGAGGGGUAGCCCGCACUGGAACUUGGCCACGGUCCAGGCGACUGCGGGACGGACCAGUAGGCAACGGUACGCAGAAGUGGGAAGCAUUACACAGUGGGGCGGAGCCAGAUGUAGCAGUCUUCCGUUCGUGAUGAUCUGUUUUGAGUUAUGAACAUAUGUCUACGUAGCUGAGCACAGAGUGACGGUAACGAGUAAGAAAGCCCCGGCUAACUACGUG
rnacentral:rRNA from 1 species